rnacentral:rRNA from 1 species
UACGUAGGGUGCAAGCGUUGUCCGGAAUUAUUGGGCGUAAAGAGCUCGUAGGCGGCUUGUCGCGUCGGCUGUGAAAACCUGGGGCUCAACCCCGGGCCUGCAGCCGAUACGGGCAAGCUAGAAUUCGGUAGGGGAGACUGGAAUUCCUGGUGUAGCGGUGAAAUGCGCAGAUAUCAGGAGGAACACCGGAGGCGAAGGCGGCUUGCUGGGCUUUGUCUGACGCUGAGGCGCGAA